rnacentral:rRNA from 1 species
GACGAACCGUACGAACGUUAUUCGGAAUCACUGGGCUUAAAGGGUGCGUAGGCGGCGCGACAAGUUGGGUGUGAAAUCCCUCGGCUCAACCGAGGAACUGCGCCCAAAACUGUCGUGCUCGAGGGAGACAGAGGUGAGCGGAACUUAGGGUGGAGCGGUGAAAUGCGUUGAUAUCCUAAGGAACACCGGUGGCGAAAGCGGCUCACUGGGUCUCUUCUGACGCUGAGGCACGAAAGCCAGGGGAGCGAACGGG